rnacentral:misc_RNA from 1 species
GAAAAGCAUACAUGUGUAUACAUUUGACUUCAUCUUGGGGAUCUCUUGGAUGUUGAUUUUUUUCUGAGACACGUUGCCCUGAAAGUUCUUGCCCAACUGAUCUGCUUUAGUUUAAGAUCUGUCACAUGUUGUACAUUCCAACCUUCAGAUAUAUGCUCGCUUUCAGUGUAGGAUGUAGUUUUCCUGAUUGGUUAGACAUUUAUGUGCAAUAAUGCCAAUGUAAUAAGGUAUAUGGAUGAAAUUAUAUCCAUGAGCAAGGAUUUCACAUGAACAGUAAUUAAUUUAAUAUAUUUAUCAUACUUUCAUGUUAAUUAAAACUUAUCACACAAUUGUAUACAUGUACUUCAUUAUUGUUUUACAGUAAAUUAAGAGAACCUAAGCAACUUC